CCGGCCCGGCUCCUCCGACCCCUGGGACACACACACAACAACGCACCUGUCUGAGCCGGCCUGCUCCAGGGUCACAGGUCGAGGGGGGAGGAGUCAGGAGCAGGGGGAGGUCUGACCCUGGGGGUCCUGAACAGUCUCUCGUCUCUUCAGCUCCCUGUCCCCGUCGGCUCCGCCCACCUGUGGCACAAACCACUUCCUGGAUGGUGGCCGGUCUCCAGUGACAGCGGCUCUUUCUUUUCUUUAUCACAGGACGGCUGAAAGAGAAACGAGAGAGGCCUCUGGCUGCAGGGGGCGGAGCUAAGAGAGAGCGAGAGAGAGCGAACACAAACACUCUCCUACUUCCUCAUCAAACUGUUGCUGCAGGCUGAAGCUGUCACUCAACUUAUUCCGUCACUACUGUAUCUGUAAUUUCCUCUUCAGACUUUCUGACCUCUGCUUCCUUUCUUUUGCUAAGGAUGAAUUAUUUUGUGCACUGAACAGUUUAAAAGUCACGGUUCAUGUAGACGCAGGGAGGACGUGAACUCCAGGAGUCAACAAACUGCGACACGUCAGGAAUCAAUCAGGCUCAACGUCAGGAGAAUCCAAGGAGCCUCCCCUUUGUUACGGAAGAAUACAUUUUAAUAAAAGGUUUUUGAAAAUUAGUAUGGCCAGUAAAAGUUUUUAGUUUUUUUAAAUCAAACAUUUGUGUCUCUGAAAGACUAAACUCUCACUCGUGAAAUUAAAGUGACUCGGUCAAUGUUUUAUUAAGAUCUGCACCAAAUUACAGUCACUCACAAAUAUGGCUGAUGUCUUUCUUUUUGUUUUGUUUUGUUAAUCAAGAUCCAUGAAUUAUUCCCUGGGAAAUCUAUGAAAAUGUCCUACAAUCUCCUGCGAAUGUUCACUUAAAUGAUAAGAACUGUCUGGAUUCAGACCGAAAUGUAAUUGAUCAUUUUUUGGUCGUUUAAGUUUUUGUGAUAAUCUGUCCUCUAGUUGGUUUGUUUUUUUGCUUGCUUACACAUUUCCGUCUUGUCGUCUCACAUCUCCGUUAUAAAACGAGGCAUUUCACAAAGUUUAAAACUCAAAGUUUAGUAUAACUUUAGUAGACGUUGAAUAAGAGAAUUAGUUCAGUAAUUUCACUGCAGAACGUAGGCAGUUAAGAUUACGAAUGACUCAUUUUAGGCAACAAAAUUAGUAUUUCAAGUUGAGUAAUGAUUCAUUGUAGGAACCCAAUGUUGUUCCUCCUCCUGCUGCAUCCAGAGUUAUGUGCACAAAAUCUAAAAUGUAUGAUGGAAUGAAAAUGCACUAAAAGGUAAAUGCAAGGGGAAACCAACGUAGCGUGAGUGGGAGUAAAUCAACGUCAAACUGUAACGACUCGCUGGUUAUUUCGUGACCGAGCGGUGGUUCUGAUUGGGCGGUUCGACCUCUGCGUCCACUCCUGUGAGCGUGUUAGAGGGUUGUCAGGAGGACCGGUCUCACAAGACUUUGAAAUUUAGAAACCACUGAAUUUCCGACUACGGAUUUUUCUAUUUGCAUUGAAAUUAUGCAUGUGAAUUGUUGGCAUCUGAAUUCAAAACUUCAAAAUGUUAAUAACUGAUUUUCACGCGUGUUUUUCAAUUUAAAAAAAAAAAAAAUAUCAGUGUUCAAAAAAUUCUAACGCAACAUCCGGGAUACUGAGGACAAGCGAUCACUUCUGUGCAAUCGCAAAUUCAGAUUUUUCGUAUCAAUAAUGUUACUAAGACACGAGCGCAGCCUCGUCCCAGUCAGAGUGACGUUCACAACCAGCUACGGCAUAAGUUUCAUCCAAACGACCCGAAUUCCGGGGCUGGAAGAAUAACCUGCCGGAAAUAAAAACAAAUUCUGAUCCAUAAUUUCAAUGCCAAAACAAUGUAGCAGUAGAAAGUGUAUUUUCAAUUUGAAAGUCUGGUGACACAGAUUCUCUUCCAUAGUCUGGGCUCUUGUCUGUGCAUCAUGCUGAAACCGGAGCAGUGAGUCACUGUCUCCAUCUUUAAUUCUUUUUUCUUUUCAUCGUACCGGGGCCGCUGCAGGACGCAGACUUUGAGGCGUGUCCCCUGACCGCGCGACAUCUUCGCCGACGGCCGUGAGCGGUUCACGUGCAGGCGUGCGUUUGCUCUGAGAGUUUACCGUGUGCGUCUCCGGCCCCUCGGGGCGUUGGCGGCGGCGGCGGCCGUCCCCCCGCCACACAUGAGCCUGCAUGAGCCCCUGACACAGAAGAAGAGAGACGGAGGAUUGUGGAUCACUGUUGUGGGUUUUUAUUUUGUACUUGUGUGUUUGUGGACAGAAUGGAGAGACAGAGAGUGGUAGAAGUACAGCAACGGGACAGAUAUAAUGUAAGACAUCUGCGUGCUGCUGCGUUCAGGUGGAAACAGUUCCAGGUUCUUUACCUUUUUUCGAUUGAUACCGAUGCACAACUGAAAGGAUCAACUCCAGUUGCAGAAGAGCAGGAAAACGAUUUUCUGACUGUUUGUGUACAAACUGAUGUCUGAGGUUUCCACCUGGCGACAGCAGCGUGUUAAUCAGUGACCGGACAAAAACCAGUGCAUUGUCAUGGCCACGGACAAUCAUCUGAACACCUCUUGUUUUCUUAUUAAGUAUAAAAGCAGAGAGUUCAAAAACGUAUUUGAUCCUGAUUGUUCUCCAUCCACACUCUCCCGAGCAUUUCAUCAAAGUUGCUCCAAUAACAUCAAUCAUGUCUGUAAACAACCAUUUUAUUAAUCACGCUCAGCUCAUGGAAACAACAAAAUGGCAGGUGGAAGCAAAAACAAAGAGUUUAUUUUAAUAAGAGAUUCUGCGUCAUGAGCUCAGAGAGUAAAA